AUUGAACGCUGGCGGCAGGCCUAACACAUGCAAGUCGAGCGAGCGGCGGACGGGUGAGUAAUGUCUGGGAAACUGCCUGAUGGAGGGGGAUAACUACUGGAAACGGUAGCUAAUACCGCAUACCAUCUGAUGUGCCCAGAUGGGAUUAGCUAGUGGGUGGGGUAACGGCUCACCUAGGCGACGAUCCCUUGCUGGUCUGAGAGGAUGACCAGACAAACUGGAACUGGUAGAAGGUCGAGACGCCUACGGGAGGCAGCAGUGGGGAAUAUUGCAAAAUGGGCGCAAGCCUGAUGCAGCCAUGCCGCGUGUAUGAAGAAGGCCUUCGGGUUGUAAAGUACUUUCAGCGGGGAGGCGGUACCCGCAGAAGAAGCACAGGCUAACUCCGUGCCAGCAGCCGCGGUAAUAC
rnacentral:rRNA from 1 species